GGGGAGGAGCCCAGAGCCUGAAUCAGCAUGUGUGUUAGUGGAAGCGUCUGGAAAGGCGCGCGAUACAGGGUGACAGCCCCGUACACAAAAGCGCAUGUGCUGUGUGCUCGAUGAGUAGGGCGGGACACGUGGUUUCCUGUCUGAAUAUGGGGGGACCAUCCUCCAAGGCUAAAUACUCCUGACUGACCGAUAGUGAACCUGUACCGUGAGGGAAAGGCGAAAAGAACCCCGGCGAGGGGAGUGAAAAAGAACCUGAAACCGUGUACGUACAAGCAGUGGGAGCACCCUUUUGGGUGUGACUGCGUACCUUUUGUAUAAUGGGUCAGCGACUUAUAUUCUGUAGCAAGGUUAACCGCUAUGGGGAGCCGGAGGGAAACCGAGUCUUAAUUGGGCGUUAAGUUGCAGGGUAUAGACGCGUAACCCGGUGAUCUAGCCUUGGG
rnacentral:rRNA from 1 species